ACAAAACUCAACGUGCAAACUGGAAUAAGGAUUAAAUCCAUCUUGCCAUCUCUGCAGUUGAGAAGAAAGAACUGUCAAUACGAAAGCUGCAACUGCCUACAGGGUACCAAAGGAUGUAUUAAAUCGCCGAGUCAAUGGUAGGCUAAAAAAUUUAUCACUUUGCGGUGAACUUUGGUCAAAGUCAAUGCCUGGCGAGGAUUGGAUGACUUGUUCACAAUGCAAACAAUGGUGUCACGAAGAAUGCUGUACUGUUACCGCAGCCAGUGUGACCUGUGUGUGUGACAUUGAACUUCAAAAUGAUUUGAAACAUGUAUUUUAUAAUUAAUUCUGAAGUUCUAUUAAAAUAAGUAUAUAUUAUAUUGACUUUAUUUUUAAUUUUUUAGCUCUGUCUCAUUUUGCCCCAUUGUGCCGGGGCAAAAUGAGACAAUUACCACUGUUAGGUUUUCCCCGAUUUAUCACAAAUAAAUAAUUUCAAACAUUUUUUUUUGCUUUACAUAUCUUGCUGUGAGUCAACCUCACAUACCCAAGUCAAAAAGAAAAUUCAAAUUGCUAUGCCUUCCAUUCUACAACAAUAAAUGUCCUUAGGUGUCUCAUUUUGCCCUGCAUUACCCUAAA